rnacentral:lncRNA from 1 species
AUUUUUAUGUAAUUAAAAGAUCUAAUAUAUAAAUUAUGACAUCCGGUAAGAAAUUUACAGCAUGUUGCUCUCACAGUUGGCACUCUUUUACCUCAUCUCUCCUACUCUACUCUUCCUACCAUCCAUUAGCAGAGACUUUCCAACACCUUCCAUUUCAAGACAGAUGUGCGAUAGCACAUCCCUCUCGAGCUUUCAGCAUCCAUCCGAAGGGUUGGGGGAGUACCCCUCCAUCGAGCAGAAGUAUUGCCACAAUGAGAGCAUUUUUUUAUCACAUCUUCAUCGAUAGGG